GUAGUCCACGCCGUAAACUAUGAUUACUAGGUGUCCGGGAUGUUAACCUCCUGGGUACCGGAGCUCACGCAUUAAGUAAUCCGCCUGGGGAGUACGGUCGCAAGACUAAAACUCAAAGGAAUUGACGGGGGCCCGCACAAGCGGUGGAGUAUGUGGUUUAAUUCGAAGCAACGCGCAGAACCUUACCUGGGCUUAACAUCCACUGACAACCCCAGAGAUGGGGCUUCUCCUUCGGGAGCAGUGAGAUAGGUGCUGCAUGGCUGUCGUCAGCUCGUGUCGUAAGAUGUUGGGUUAAGUCCCGCAACGAGCGCAACCCUUGCCUUUAGUUGCCACCAUUAAGUUGGGCACUCUGAAGGGACUGCCGGUGUUAAACCGGA
rnacentral:rRNA from 1 species